GAUGGACGCUGGCGGCGUGCCUAAUACAUGCAAGUCGAGCGAACAGACGAGGAGCUUGCUCCUCUGAUGUUAGCGGCGGACGGGUGAGUAACACGUGGAUAACCUACCUAUAAGACUGGGAUAACUUCGGGAAACCGGAGCUAAUACCGGAUAACAUGUUGAACCGCAUGGUUCAACAGUGAAAGACGGUUUUGCUGUCACUUAUAGAUGGAUCCGCGCCGCAUUAGCUAGUUGGUAAGGUAACGGCUUACCAAGGCAACGAUGCGUAGCCGACCUGAGAGGGUGAUCGGCCACACUGGAACUGAGACACGGUCCAGACUCCUACGGGAGGCAGCAGUAGGGAAUCUUCCGCAAUGGGCGAAAGCCUGACGGAGCAACGCCGCGUGAGUGAAGAAGGUCUUCGGAUCGUAAAACUCUGUUAUUAGGGAAGAACAAAUGUGUAAGUAACUAUGCACGUCUUGACGGUACCUAAUCAGAAAGCCACGGCUAACUACGUG
rnacentral:rRNA from 1 species